rnacentral:ncRNA from 2 species
CCUGAUGAAGGCGAAGCAGGUGCCCUACGGGGCUUAAUAGGGAAGACCGGUGAAAGACCGGCGCGGUCCCGCCACUGUAACGGGGAGUAAACCCAAGAGAUGCCACUGGGAGGAAUAAUCCUGGGAAGGUUUGGGCGAACGAGGAACCGGAGUCAGGAGAACUGCCUGUUUGACGAUCACCGU